GCCUGCCUUUACCCCAUUGCUUAAACUUCUACCCAAAACUCUCUCUCCUCUCUCUCUUUGUCUUUCAUACACAGUGAGAGCAGAAGAAUGUUGCACACCUCACUCUCUCCAGUUCACUCCUCCAGUUUAUAUUCUCCCUCUCUGUUUCCUUUUUCUCCUUUUCCCUCUUCUUCUUCUUUUUCUUCUUCCUCUGUAUCGCUUGAACCAUCUUCUCAUCGUCUCUGCUCUCUGCGACUCUACAACAAUGCCCAUUUGAGGAUUACCUACAAAUCCAAUGGACUGAAACUCAACUGUUCUUUAAAAGAGCCUCUGAAGGUGAUGAUAUCCGGUGCACCGGCAUCAGGCAAAGGAACUCAGUGUGAAUUGAUUGUCCGCAAGUUUGGAUUAGUACACAUAUCAACGGGGGACCUUCUAAGAGCUGAAGUGUCAUCUGGGACAGAAAUUGGAAAUAAAGCCAAAGAGUUCAUGAAUGCUGGCCGUCUGGUCCCUGAUGAAGUCGUGACUGCGAUGGUCACAGCACGAUUAUCACGGGAAGAUGCAAAGGAAAACGGGUGGCUUCUAGAUGGCUACCCCCGAAGUUUUAACCAAGCACAAAGCCUGCAAAGUUUAAAGAUAAUACCAGAUGUUUACAUUGUAUUAGAUGUUCCUGAUGAAAUUCUAAUCGACAGAUGUAUUGGAAGAAGGCUAGACCCAAUUACAGGGAAGAUUUACCAUCUCAAAAGUUUCCCUCCAGAGACUGAGGAAAUUAAAGCAAGACUUAUUACCCGUCCUGAUGACACCGAGGAAAAGGUGAAGUCACGCCUUGAAAUAUACAAGCAAAAUGCUGAUGCAAUCUCAACCACUUACUCCCACAUAAUGAAAAAGAUCGAUGGGAACCAUCCUAAGGAAGUAGUUUUUGAAGUAAUAGACUCUAUAUUGUCACAAGUGCAGAAAGAUAAAGAAACGAAGAUGAAAUUAGGGAAAUCAAAUCAGUCAACUUCAGUCCAGGAUAACUGGAGGGGAAUUCCUACUAAAUUGAAUAACAUUCCACAUUCUAGAGACAUCAGGAAAUAUUUCUAUGAGGAUGUGCUGCAGGCCACCCAAAGAGCAAUAAAUGAUGGAAGAACUCGACUAAAGGUGGAGAUUAAUAUUCCAGAGCUGAACCCAGAAAUGGAUGUUUAUCGAAUAGGUACCUUAAUGGAACUUGUUCGAUCUCUUGCUCUUUCAUUUGCCGAUGAUGGGAAACAUGUCAAGGUUUGUGUUCAAGGCUCUAUGGGGGAAGGCGCUCUUGCUGGAAUGCCAUUACAGCUUGCUGGUACUCGAAAAAUCUUGGAGUUCAUGGACUGGGGUGAAUAUGAGGCUAUGGGGACGUUUAUCAAUAUUGGUUCUAUAGGUGGCAAAGAGGUAGAUGAGCAAGAUGACCUGUUUAUCUUAGUAGCUCCUCAAAAUGCUGUUGGGAAUUGUAUUAUCGAUAGCCCUUUUAUUAAAUUUACAGGAUCUAAGAGCUAUGACCGAUGCUGCUGGGGACCGACCAGUAAUUCUUAUCAAUCCCAGGCUCAAGGAUUUGCCUGCUUCGAGUGGAAUCAUGCAAACCAUGGGGCGCGACAAGAGAUUGGAGUAUGCUUCAUCAUUCGAAAAUUGCUAUUUCUUUCGGCUUCUCUAUUAUGCAGGAACCCAAUAUCCAAUUAUGGGUGCUCUCAGGAUGUCUUAUCCAUAUCGUUACGAACUGUACAAGAGGGUGGAUGACCCUUCUGGGAAAGAGAAGUAUGUUAUCUUGUCUACAUUUCCUGAAAAGCCAAGUACCGAUGAAGUGAAUGAUGCUUUCGAAGGAAAGCCUAGAAAUGAGAGUAAGAAAGCCUUGGGAUUCUGGGGAUUCUUAAGUGGUAUAUUUUGAGUGGAAACUAAAAGAAGUAUAUAUGUAGUCUGCAUCACAUGUGAGUAUAUUAGCCAACAAGGAUGAAUCCUACACCUUUUAAGAUGCUUUCUGUCAGUAAAUUGGGGAGUUUGCUUCUAGGCAUCAUGGAAGCUUAAAGCAGGGGUAUAUAGAGAAGAGAAACAAAAUGUAAUCAAACCUUUCCAAUGAAAUGAUCUGGUUGAGAAA